rnacentral:lncRNA from 1 species
ACAGAAAGAAUGCCGCCCUUGGGCAUGCACGGCUUGCCAGUGCGCGUUCGUCCGCCCUCGAUGAAGAACUCGACGUUGUGGCCCUGCUUCAAGGCGUGGGUCAGAUACAGGUGUAGAGCAGCGCGAUAAAGCACGUCCUUCUUGCCCUCCACAGGAUCAAUCUUGCGUUUGAUGAAGAAAGCACCCAAACCACGUAGGAGCCCACCAAAGACCGGAAUUUGCAGGUUGUUGCCAGCGGCUACCAGAGGACUGCGUAUAUCGUUGUUCGUGAGUAUCCAUGUGACCAUGAUGUAGUCCAAGUGGCUGCGAUGCAGCGGAACAAAUAUCAGCGGAGUGCCCGGCGAACGCUCUGUGGCUGUUUUGAGCAUCUCGAUCUGCUUCGUGUUCGUAACGACUCCGGAGAGGAAGCAGGGCAGCAACUUGUACAGGAUCCAGGAAGUGAAGGCCAAAAGGCCAUUGUUCAGAGUGGAGCCCAUGUCCUUCAGUAUGCUAAUGGCGCGCUGCUCCUGCUUACGCAGAAUGGCCUGAUAGGAUAUACCCCUCUUCUCGUCCUCCUCCUCCUGCGCCUCCUGAUCUCCACUAGCACUGCGCGUGAGCAGACGAUGACCAUUUUUAGCAUAUCUCUGCUCCCUUAGCGUCUGCUCGGCGGCCUGUUUAAUUGCAUGCUUCAGUACAGCAUCGUUGUGCACGAUCUCGGUGACCUAAGGGGAUGCAGUUCAAGGUAACUACAGGUUUUAUGAGCUUUAAGGGGUCACCCACCUGUCGGUACUCGAACUUCUCGCUGCGCACCACCUGGGCAACAUAUGGGAAGAGCACGCCCCAGUCGAAUAGCUUCUUAAAAGGCUUCUGACCCGAAUGCGGGGUCAGCUCCAACAUAUUCUGCGUCCCAAUGCCAUGAGCCACCGAAUUCUGCGUCUUGGGCUCCUGCAAUGAAACGAUCGGAACAAUUCUGUGAUUGUGAUGCAACUGGCAUGCAUAUAGACGUCAUGCAGGCGGGUCAAUUGGUACCUCGAACCAGCCGCGAGCGUGAAACUCCUCCAUGGGCAUUCCAGCCAAGAGAUUCUACCGUUCUACAGCACUUUCAAAUUGUAAAUUUAUAAUUUACGCAUUUACCCAUGCGCCCGGCUUUUUUUGCAGGAAAUCGACGGCCGAUAAGUCCUUCUCAGCUUUCAGGAUUGUUAUCGAUUGGCAGGAUGAUGUGGCAACGCCACGAGUAUUUAAUUUAAAAUAGUGCAAACUUUUA